GAUGAACGCUGGCGGCGUGCCUAAUACAUGCAAGUCGAGCGAACAGACGAGGAGCUUGCUCCUCUGACGUUAGCGGCGGACGGGUGAGUAACACGUGGAUAACCUACCUAUAAGACUGGGAUAACUUCGGGAAACCGGAGCUAAUACCGGAUAAUAUAUUGAACCGCAUGGUUCAAUAGUGAAAGACGGUUUUGCUGUCACUUAUCGAUGGAUCCGCGCCGCAUUAGCUAGUUGGUAAGGUAACGGCCUACCAAGGCAACGAUGCGUAGCCGACCUGAGAGGGUGGUCGGCCGCACGAGAGCGUGGACACGGACCAGACUCCUACGGGAGGCAGCAGUAGGGAAUCUGCCGCAGUGGGCGAAAGCCUGACGGAGCAACGCCGCGUGAGUGAUGAAGGUCUUCGGAUCGGAAAACUCUGUUAUUAGGGAAGAACAAAUGUGUAAGUAACUAUGCACGUCUUGACGGUACCUAAUCAGAAAGCCACGGCUAACUACGUG
rnacentral:rRNA from 1 species